GCGAGGGUUUCCGAGCCAGGUCAAAGGAGCCAGGUUCAGGGCCUGGUCGUGCAGACGUUCGAGCGUUCGAAUCGCUCCCCUCGCA
rnacentral:tRNA from 1 species